CGGAAGGAGCACAGCCAUCGCCCGUCUCCCAUCUCCAAGAUGGCGGAGGCAGCUUCAACCUCACCUCUCGCGAGGAGUGUGUCUCACUGUCUCCGAUUAGCCCCGAGGUCAGAGGUAUAAUAAAGGCUCUUGAGAGCUCAGGCGCCAGAAUUUUGGCAAUGAAAGAAGACACCCAGUCCCUCUGAAGGCUCCCAUCGCUGUAGUGUUCUGCACGUGCUGUUGAAAAUCAUGAACUGCUGCGGCUGUUUUCCCACCAUCUGCCUCCUGGCCCUCAAACGAAUGCAACCACCCCUGACCAUCUCCAGUUUUGCCUCUCCAGUCUUUCCUCCAUAUUAUGUAAUUGUCAUACACCUGUUCACAUCAUUCAGAAGCUGCCUCCUCUACUGGAUAAAAUCCAGACUUCUAAUGUCAUACCAAGGAAUAUUAUACAGCAAUCAAAGUAAAGAAACUGACACAACAAUAUGGAUGGUUCCUACCUAAUAUCGAAGAAGUCCCGCAAAAGCAAAUAUAGGAUCCUAUUUUUUUAAAGAGUAAAAAAGGUAAGUAAAAGUCAGAAGUUACUUUGGGGUAGAGAGGCAAUGAAAGGGGGCUUACAGGAUAGUGGUAAUGUAUCUUUUGACAGAGGUGAGAGUUAAACACUACGUUCACUUUAUGAUAAUUCAUCAUCUGAUCCUGAUGAUUUAGAAAAUCUCUGGUGUAAGUACACUGAGGAUUGCUGGAGGGGAGGUGGGUGGAGGGAUAGGGUAAUUGGGAGACAGGCAUGAAGGAGAUCACCUGAUGUAAUGAGCACUGGGUGUUCUAUGCAACUGAUGAAUCACUAAAUUCUAUGUCCGAAACCAUUAAUACACUAUCUGUUAAACUGAAUUUAAAUAAAAAAUUUUUUUAAAAUCCCUGGUGUUUAUUCUA